UGCAAAGCGCCGCAUUACACGCUCUCGUCGCGAGAGUGAUCACUAAUAAGCGCGCGAGAGCCGCUGUUUAAACUUCAACGGUUCAUGGUACGCUGACUCUGCUCAGCGCUCAGGAGAACUACGAUUACAAUGAUGUUCCUCUAUAAUAAAGAGCACUUUUAAAGUUUUACAACCACCUUAUCAGCGUGCUGAAAAGUGGAAGUCAGAGGAAACAUGACCAACUUGUUACAACACAACACAGAAGGUCUGGACUAUGGAGUGCAGCAUUACUUGUUUGGUCAUCUACAUUCAGAUGAAAACACCACACUCCUCUCUAACUCAAUAUGUGUGUUUUGUAAAUGCACAUGCCACGUGCCUACUGGUGCCGUCUCAGCGAGCUCAUAAUGUGACCUGACAUUCUACAUCCCCCAGCAUGCCGAGCUCAGAGGGGGCACAUACGAGGAGCUGUCACGGGCGUCACUCACAGUAACCACAGGGGUAUAGAGCCAUGGCUUCGUAACUCCUUUAUUUUUGGAAAAGAGUGGAUGGGGGAACAAAUGAGAGUUUGAGUUUGAGUGACAGUUGGGGUUGGGGGGAAGGGUGCAUUAGACGAAUGCCAGGUUGUUCUUUCACUUGGUCUGGAGAGACUCAGAAAGUAAACAAUAAUAUGAUGUCCAGGCAAGAUUAAUCAAUAGGAGAGCAAACAGAGUCUGAUUAAGACAGCUCUCUGCACAAAGACCAGUGUCGGAAUCCCUGGGAAAUAUUUGCCAAUAAACAUCAGCUUUCCUCUCA
ensembl:lncRNA